rnacentral:rRNA from 1 species
CUGGUUGAUCCUGCCAGUAGUUAUAUGCUUGUCUCAAAGAUUAAGCCAUGCAUGUCUAAGUACACACGAAUUAAAAGUGAAACCGCAAAAGGCUCAUUAUAUCAGUUAUGGUUCCUUAGAUCGUACUUACUACUUGGAUAACUGUGGUAAUUCUAGAGCUAAUACAUGCGUUGGGCUCCAACCCUCGUGGACGGAGCGCUUUUAUUAGAUCAAAGCCAAUCGAACUUUCGGGUUCGUUUCAUUGGUGACUCUGAAUAACUUUGCUGAUCGCACGGUCUCGCACCGGCGACGUAUCUUUCAAGUGUCUGCCUUAUCAACUGUCGAUGGUAGGUUAUGCGCCUACCAUGGUUGUAACGGGUAACGGGGAAUCAGGGUUCGAUUCCGGAGAGGGAGCCUGAGAAACGGCUACCACAUCCAAGGAAGGCAGCAGGCGCGCAAAUUACCCACUCCCAGCACGGGGAGGUAGUGACGAAAAAUAACGAUACGGAACUCAUACGAGGCUCCGUAAUCGGAAUGAGUACACUUUAAAUCCUUUAACAAGGAUCCAUUGGAGGGCAAGUCUGGU